ACGAACGCUGGCGGCAGGCCUAACACAUGCAAGUCGAACGAGGUAGCAAUACCUAGUGGCGCACGGGUGAGUAACGCGUGGGAACAUGCCCUUUAGUUUGGAAUAACACCGGGAAACUGGUGCUAAUACCAGAUACGCCCUUCGGGGGAAAGAUUUAUCGCUAAAGGAUUGGCCCGCGUUGGAUUAGCUAGUUGGUGAGGUAAUGGCUCACCAAGGCUACGAUCUAUAGCUGGUCUGAGAGGACGGCCAGCCACACUGGAACUGAGACACGGUCCAGACUCCUACGGGAGGCAGCAGUGGGGAAUAUUGGACAAUGGGGGAAACCCUGAUCCAGCCAUGCCGCGUGAGUGAUGGAGGCCUUAGGGUUGUAAAGCUCUUUUAGCAGGGAAGAUGAUGACGGUACCUGCAGAAUAAGCACCGGCUAACUUCGU
rnacentral:rRNA from 1 species